CCUUUCUUCUUUUUCUCUACCCCACAAGGUCCCCAUCUAGCCGCUGCUCGCCGCACGCCCACCCGACAAGAACAACACUCCACCAAGAGUCCGGGACCACCACCAUGCUGCCCGCACGUUGCUCACACGCUACCCUGGCCGAGCGAACCAGAGCUGCCCUGCCGCGCCCAAUCCCGACAAGAUUAUUACUGAAGAAAACCCAAGUACUCCAGGCCCUGGUGCGUCAAUCAAUUCUCCUUUUUCCGUGGAUGAAGAAAAAUUAGAGAACAAAGUUGAAACAACUUCAGGUUCUGUGAAAGGGAAAAAAAAGAUUGGCGAUAUGGGAAUCUUUUGAUGAGAUCACGCAACCAGAUGGUUCUGUUAAGAUUAGAUGCAAAUUUUGUAAGACUCUUUACGCCAAGCAUUCUGGUUCUUCUACAACUCACUAUCAGAGACAUCUAGAUAAAUGUGUGAAGAGACCAAGAACAUUGAAGGGUGGAGUCUAGUAACUGCUUUCAUUUACUAUUUCUGAAGAUGACAACUCUAAAGUUGCACUCUCAACGUAUAAGUAUGACUCGGAUAAACUGAAUGAGUGGUUUGCAAGGUUAGUGAUAAUCAAUAAGAAGCCAUUCAGCAUGGUAUAAAGCAAGGUUUUCAUGGGAUUUUGUAAAUUUCUAAAUCCCAAAUGUGAGAAGGCCUCUCGAUCUACUGUGAAAAGAGAAUGCAUGAAGAUGUAUGCUGUUGAGAAAGCUAACUUGAAAGCUCUCCUACAAUCUGUAUCCAAAAUAAGUUUGACAUCGGAUAUGUGGACGGCCUCGAAUCAAAGAAAGGGAUUUAUGUCAUUGACCGCACACUUCGUUGAUGCCAAUUGGAAACUAUAAAAGAAGAUUUUAAACUUCCGCUACGUUCCUCCUCCUCAUACCGGUGUGGUACUGUUCGAUUACAUUUACAACCGUCUUGUUGAGUGGGGCA